UAACUGUGAUAUUUGACCUUGUAUUGGCAAACAGACCUUGAUGGAAAAUACACUUAAAACAUGGCAGUAAGGAAUAUUUCCCAUCUAGUUGGUUCUGAACCUGGCUGUGAUACCCUGUGAAUAAUGUAGAACUUUGUUGCAUGAUCAGCUAUCCUAAAGCAGGUUCAAGCAGUAUUGCUUAGGAAACCUCCAUGAGGGUAAUGGAACCUGGAAAGUCAAUCUACUGGAAGAAACACCUCUGCUAAGCUGACCUGGAAACAAGGCUCGGACCAGGUACUGUUAACAACUGACAACCCAGUUAAUGGCACCAGGAUGUUGAGUCAGGGAUUUAUGUCUCUGAGUUUUGUGGACCAAAGUGGAUAGAGGUCAAGAACAAACCUCACUGACAUAGAAUUUCUAAGGGAAAAUGUUUCCCAGAAGCAGAAGACUUCAUGAAGUAGACAGCUAAACCCAAGACAACCAAAUAAGAAAUCUUUUUUUAAGUGAACAUUAACUGAAUGUUGCACAUAUGCGUUUGACCAAACCCUUAAUUGCACCUGAAUUGCACUGGGGAGUCAGGGAAGGGUCUGCAGGAGAUUAAACAUGAAGGAAUAUGUGACUGGGACAUUUGUAUUUGGUUGCCUAGAAUAGGCUCAAUCACAAAUUCUGAAAACUCCAUGUUAUAUAAUACUAAUAACUUGUAUUGAUUUUGCUUUAUUAUUGCUUUCAAUGCUUCCCAAUACUUGUAUCUGCCUGUGGAAAUACAAGGUAUCCAGAAAGGAGAGCAACAGGAUGUAUGAAAAUGUGGCCAAGAUGCAUGUCUUAUGUAAUCUAUGACCAAAGUGGAGACUGUCCUAAGAGAAUUUCUGGCUUAAUUUUCCUGCUAUCAUUUACUUAAGUUAAACUGGUCACACAACCAUCAAGAGUCUGUAAAAUCAAGCUGAGACAUCAACUAUAGCCCUAGUGUUAUCUAAAUAAUUUCUGCUCUGUUUGCCAAUUCCAGCUUGAGACAGCAGUUCUAACUCUAGUGUUUGCUGACCAGUAUCCUAAUUUACCUGGUAUAGAUCUUGUCCCUGUGCCAUAAGUUCUUUAAUGUGUAAGUCAUUGCCUUCCUCUUCUGUUUUCUGUGAAAUUCCUUUGUACCUGACCUGUCUAUGUAACCAAAACCAACAUAAGGUUGCUGAAAUGGAUGUUCUAGGCUAAUUGAUUUCUUUAUACAAUGAUGCCUACACUCUGAGUAAAGUGAACCAGUUU